rnacentral:rRNA from 1 species
AGAGCAAAUCUCAAAAAAACAAUCUCAGUUCAGACUGCAGGCUGCAACUCGCCUGCACGAAGUCGGAAUUGCUAGUAAUCGUAGGUCAGCAUACUACGGUGAAUACGUUCCCGGGCCUUGUACACACCGCCCGUCAAACCAUGAGAGUUGGCAACACCCGAAGUCGGUAGUCUAACCGCGAGGAGGACGCCGCCGAAGGUGGGGUUGAUGAUUAGGGUUAAGUCGUAACAAGGUACC